GUUUUGUUUUUUAAUAAUUUACCAACAAUGAGAAACGUUUCAGCCCCAGAGCCUCAGUUGCGGGAAUCCAAUGGACGAGACUGUACGCAGGGUGCAAACUACUGGGGAGCUCGGCUCCUCAUAAAAAAGACGAGAGGCUGCUGUCAGUUCAUCCUGACCGAUCCUGUCGGAGUAAUGUGCCCAGCAUCGAAAGUAAGUCAAAGGCUACUGUUGGGCUGCUUACCUGCUGCUGUGGUGGGUAUCCCGGGCCGGGCUGGGGGAACCCCGGCUGGGGGUUGUCUUGGUAGGGCGG